AACGCACGAGACCUGCGGACCUGCGGAGGGAUCAUUAUUGAAAAACAAAUUUGGGAUUUAUUUUCCAUUUAAUCCGGUGAACUUGUUUCUUUUUUUAGAUUUCUGCUUGGCAGUGUUUUGAAAAGAGGCCUGCCAUCAGUUAUCGAUAUUAUACCCUUUUUUUUAUCAAGAAGUCUGAAAUACUAAAAAUAAAAAAAUUGAAAAACUUUUAACAAUGGAUCUCUAGAUCGGAAGAGCACA
rnacentral:misc_RNA from 1 species